GAUGAACGCUGGCGGCGUGCCUAAUACGUGCAAGUCGAGCGAACAGACGAGGAGCUUGCUCCUCUGACGUUAGCGGCGGACGGGUGAGUAACACGUGGAUAACCUACCUAUAAGACUGGGAUAACUUCGGGAAACCGGGGCUAAUACCGGAUAAUAUAUUGAACCGCAUGGUUCAAUAGUGAAAGACGGUUUUGCUGUCACUUAUAGAUGGAUCCGCGCGGCAUUAGCUAGUUGGUAAGGUAACGGCUUACCAAGGCAACGAUGCUUAGCCGACCUGAGAGGGUGAUCGGCCACACGGGAACUGAGACACGGCCCAGACUCCUACGGGAGGCAGCAGUAGGGAAUCUCCCGCAAUGGGCGAAAGCCUGACGGAGCAACGCCGCGUGAGUGAUGAAGGUCUUCGGACCGUAAAACUCUGUUAUUAGGGAAGAACAUAUGUGUAAGUAACUGUGCACAUCUUGACGUUACCUAAUAAGAAAGCAACGGCUAACUACGUG
rnacentral:rRNA from 1 species